UACGUAGGGUGCGAGCGUUGUCCGGAAUUAUUGGGCGUAAAGAGCUCGUAGGCGGUGUGUCACGUCGUUCGUGAAAACCUGCAGCUUAACUGUGGGCGUGCGGUCGAUACGGGCAUCACUGGAGUUCGGCAGGGGAGACUGGAAUUCCUGGUGUAGCGGUGAAAUGCGCAGAUAUCAGGAGGAACACCGGUGGCGAAGGCGGGUUACUGGGCUGAUACUGACGCUGAUGUGCGAAGGCCAGGGGAGCGAACGGG
rnacentral:rRNA from 1 species